UACGUAGGGUGCGAGCGUUAAUCGGAAUUACUGGGCGUAAAGCGUGCGCAGGCGGCGCGUUAAGACAGGUGUGAAAGCCCCGAGCUUAACUUGGGAAUUGCGCUUGUGACUGGCGUGCUGGAGUGUGGCAGAGGGAGGUGGAAUUCCAGGUGUAGCGGUGAAAUGCGUAGAUAUCUGGAGGAACACCGGUGGCGAAGGCGGCAUCCUGGACCGACACUGACGCUGAGGCGCGAAAGCUAGGGGAGCAAACAGG
rnacentral:rRNA from 1 species